rnacentral:lncRNA from 1 species
AGUGAAGACUUGGCAAGUCCAUGCCCUGGAGUCUGGAAUACGUUUUUGAUCCACCUUUGAAACUACGUGACAGGUAUAUUUUUGAUUCACCUUUGAGUCAGUAUUCCCAAUUCAGACUGUAUUAUAUCGUUAUUAGUUGCACAUUACGCAUAAUUCUGGUACAAUUUAGUCUUGGCUGCAUUCAUCCCAUAAUGUACAGACUUAUUGGUCGAUCCAGCUAUCAUUGUGCCCUGAUCGCAACAUUCUCUAAUACAUAGGAGGGUAGAUAGAAGAAGUGCAUCAAUGUCCCAUGGAGCUUUAACAAAGAAGCCUUGCAAUUUAUCUUGUAUUAGUGAUCUAUGGCCAGUCUUGUUCAUCACUACUUGAUUAAGAAAUUCAAGUUGAUGAAAAGAACUACUUUUAAGUCUACUUGUUUUGUUUUCAUAGUUGGAUGUAUAUCUAAGUUCAUUUGGUCCACUGAUGCUCUGCCAAUGUCCUCGUUGUAGACAAGUCUUUUGAAGGCAUGAGAAGAUGGGGGAAGAGAGGAGAUUGCAGUACAGGCAUUUGAAAAGCUCAGAAGACUACAUACAUGCGGCUAUGCCUAGAUCCAAUGAUCCAUCAACCAGUCGCAACACUAGGAACAGCCAGAGCCCCAAGGCUCAAACUGGGCUAGUAAAUUAUACCAAAAACGAAAGGGUCUGAACUGUAGAGAUGAGCAUACAGCAACAGAACAUAGACACGCCCAAACCAGAUAUCAAAGGUACAAGUAACAAUAUUACACAUUUCAGUAACAACAGAAGGGUAUUGAUUAGAAUACACAAAAGGAAAUAGAAUUCAUCCACUUAUAAGCAUAGUAAACAUCCAAGAUCUCAUGGUUGGAGCCAGAAGCAAAAGGCCCUUAUUGGGAUUGAAAUUAAACUUAAUUGGAUUCAAGAAACAACACGACCAACAACAGGGUACUUAGCUACGAACUUGUUCUCCCAGUCGGUGAGGACGCCGAUCUCCUUGUCGGAGAGGCCCUGGAGGUCGGCGGUGAUGUCUUCUUCGUUCUUGGUCGAUCCAGCUAUCAUCGUGCCCUGAUCGGAGGCUAGAUAGAAGGGCUUCAAAUCUUCUGUGCCCAAAACUCUGUCCCUCUCCCUGCUUUCCUAUAAAAAUUUAACAUUUGGCAAUUAAUCUUGACACCUGGCCAUUUCAUCAUCCAGCACUUUGACACCGUUAGUUAGCCUUCCGUUUGUUUUUCAGACUUCAUUGUUUUACGCCUUGCCUCUAACAAGUUUCCAUAACCAAAUAAAGAGAAAUUUUAAAUACACACCCUUAAUAUCUUAGGGGGGGUAUAUUGUAUAUGGAAUUAGUGGAAGUUUUAAAGAAGUCUAUGGAAUUUGAAAGUCUAGGUGUAUUCAAUACAGAUUUUUAAAAGUCCAUCAAAGUCUGGGUGUAUUCAACUAGAUUUUAAAAAAUCAUUAUGAAUUCCACCAAAAUUCAGGGGUAUUCAAUUAAGACUUUUUAAAAUGAAUAGAAGUUUAGAUGUAUUCAAAAUAUCAUUCAUACUUAUGGAAUUAAUAACUCAUGGAUAAUUGUGGACUUUGUAGUGUAAAUUACACACACCAAACUCCAAUAUUUUUCCAUCCACUAGAGCAAAUAUUUGGAAAAGUCUAUGACAGACUUUCUCUUUACAUGUGAAUAUGUUGAUCCUACAAUACAUCAUCUUUUUUUUUUAUUUUUNNNNNNNNNNNNNNNNNNNNNNNNNNNNNNNNNNNNNNNNNNNNNNNNNNNNNNNNNNNNNNNNNNNNNNNNNNNNNNNNNNNNNNNNNNNNNNNNNNNNNNNNNNNNNNNNNNNNNNNNNNNNNNNNNNNNNNNNNNUUUUAUUUUUAUUUUUUAUAUGUAUCAGCUUUAGUUUGAUCUUACAUAUCAUAUUGUCAAGUGCUGCAUUUUUAUCAUGACAUGUUUUAUCGAAUAACUAGCUAUCUAUGUUCAAUAGCUACUGUACUUCUACAGUUCUACUAGCUUGUGAAUUUUGAAAACUUGUAUUGGUGAUUUGGAGUUGGGAUAUAACAAUAAUCAUUUGAUUAUAAAUUGAAUGAUGAUAACAAAAAAUUUAUAGCAAAAAUUAGACGAAAUAAUAUGUAAAAAGAGGUACCAAAUGGUAAAUAUACAUUAAUUAUAUUAAAUGAUAGAAUAUUUCAUAAAUUAAGGGCAUUUUAGGCAGUUUGGGAUGUGUAUUAAGUAUAAUACUGAAAUGAAAAACUUGAUAGGUGGUGUAUUAAGUAAGGGGUGUGUAUUAAGAUAUCAGGGGUGUGUAUUUAAAAUUUCUCCCAAAUAAAAUACACUUACAAUUUCAAUUUGAUUUAAACAUAAUCAAAGCAAGGGGUUCAAGUUCUCAACUCUUUGGCCAGGUUUGAAAAUCCCUUGCUUGAAGAUACUCUAGAAACAUUCAACUAAUUCUUUUUGUAAUUGGGUUUUAAUUCAUUCGCAGUAAAGCUUGAAGAUACCUGAGACACAUUCAAUCUUGUAAUUGGGUUUUGAUUCAUUUGAUCAUAAACUAAAAUAUGGGUUCGUCCAUUUUUCUUAUUUGGUAUUCAUUAUAAUUGGAAUUUUGAGGAAUCUAUUCUAGCUAGCUUAUCUGUAUUUUACGUACCUAACGAAUUUGGAAUCUACGACUGGUGCUGAUAGCUUUUUGUUUAAGAAGGUUUGGGUCAAUGUUUGAAUGGCAAAGUUUCUAGGUUUUGCAUGCUAAAAGGUUUUGACUUGAAUCUGGUUAUACUGGGUUCUACUGUUCUUCAUUUGAUCUUCUGGAAUUGAAUAGAAAAUUUCAUCCCAUGCUAACAAAUCAUGAUUUCGGUCUCCACAAAAUGAAGCUAUAUUACCAAGUUGUGGGUUAAUUUCACGAUUUCUCUUGUUAGUGAUGAUGGAACGAAAAACCAAAAUCAAAUGGAAAGGAUGAGCACCGGGUCUUUGAAUAUAAAUAAAGAAUGACAAAACGAGGACUUGUUUUUGUUUCCAGAAACGGUAGGAGCAUACGUUAAUACGACGUUAAUUGUUGUGUUGGGCCAGGUGUACAUGUCAAAAUUUUAUAGGAGUGCAGGGAAGGAGACAGAGUUUUAGUGAUAGAAGAUUUGGAGCCCCUUUUUAUAGAGUUGAUUUAGUUACCUUACAUGAAUUUUAUUAAAUAUAUUUCUUAAUAGAGUCUGACAUUAUAAUAAUUUAUCAAAUUUUAAAUGUCACAAGAUAUUGAUAAAAAAAUCAAAUAUUUUGUAAAUAUAUUAUUUAACAAAAUAAUAAGUAAAAAUACAAAUUAACACAUGCAUUAGCGUGUAUUAAGAUAAUAGAGGUGUCAAUCGCCGCAUCUUAUAAACUCUUUUGUUUUUUAAAUUUAUUUUUAAACCUUUGAUUUUUGCUUAGCAGGAUAAUUAAACCAUCUUGGUCAAGUCUCAAUUUAAGGAUGUGUGGUGUGGGCAGAGAGAGAUGAGGACCACCGACACUCUCACACGCUCUGCUUGCCAAAAUCGAACCGUUUCCUGCUGAAUGUGACCGGGUUUCCGUUACACAUUCAAUUUGGCAUCGACAUUAAUCUCCAACUUGAUUUCACUAUCUCCCUCCGGCCUAGUUAUCAGAAGUCCAAUCAGAAGCUCGAGCCUCGAGGUCGAUCUUCAUCCCCGCCUAAAAGCUCAAUUAAGCAAAUAUUAGAUUCAGAUAUGUGGGACCACCACCACCUCACUACUAUUAAGAGUCAUGAAGUGACGUGAAUUGGUUAAUCUCUCACUAACAUGGGUGGCCGCUCCAAUGGGAAUUAAGCUCCAUCAAAGAUGUGAGAGGGAGAGUUUUUUUUAUUUUUUUAUUUUUUAUUUUUUAGGUGAGGAGAGAGAGCUUGAUGAAGUGGGAAAAUAUAAAAUAAUAGAGAAACUAAAAAAUUGCCACAUCGAUGCCAUUAUCGUCUGUUUCAAGUAAAAAAGAAAAGAAAUAUGGCCCCAUCCCACUCCCACCUACUCUCAACAACACAUAACAUGUAUUAGGCACUAUGUUUCCUACUAACCAAAUGGUACAUUUGAAAUUUUCUAAAAUAUCAACCUAUAAAUGUUGCUUCCCCAACCAUGCUAGAACAAGUGGCCUCUCACCACCAACCCAAACACCCCCCACACACACACACACACAACAAACUUAAUUCACCAACUCUCCUAAUUUUUCACCAUCAAACAAAAUUGAAAUAUCCUAAUUCAUUUUUCUCUCCGAUUAGUGUAAACUUUUCCAUAAUAUAUUUCUUUUUACUCUUCUGUUCUGAUCAAGAGAAAACAACACAUGUACUAUGUUAGGCAUUUUGAGGCACGUGGUGAUGUGCAUAAUAUUCUGUGCACUUUGGCCUAUGAUUCUGUGCAGUUUUUGUCAUGCAAAGUUUUUCACUACCACAUCGCUGUCUUUCGAGUUGAUGGUGUACCUUUUUUUUUUUUUUUGUAGGUCAAGAGUAGGUAGUGUUUGAUAUCCAACCUGCUUCGUAAUGGUGGCCACUACUGCUAAAACGGCAGGACUAUCAUGUUAAAAUACAUACACACCAUUAUUACUUUUCCUUAAUAUUGGGUGGACGAAUUUCAAGAGCACAAUUUUAAUUUAACAAGGAGCAGAAUAAUAAACAUACAAACCAACAAAAAAUGUAGAAAAAAACCGUUCAAUUUAACUUUUCAUAGCAAAUUCUACGAUUUACAAUUUAUCAUAAUCUCGUAAACUUGAUUCGGUGGUAUUUGUUUUCUCCCACCUUUAGAAGGGGUUUAACUUUAUGUAAAAGUUAAAGAUGUGAUCAAAGAUGAAAAUUCUUAGAGUUUAAUUUUGUUAACAGUAUUAGUGUAUAUAUAUAUAUAUGUAGUACGACGUAAAUGACUGAAUUAAAAUACUGCUUAUUAGUUGUUAUAAAAAAAUUUCGGGUAAAAACAGGUAGAAAUCGUAGAAUCCCAUCUCCGGUCUCCACUCCUCAGUCCUCACCCACUCCCAGAUACUGUGCUGUAUGAAUAGGUGUGGGACCCCGGGGUAUUCACCUACCGCAAACUCCAAUAUGAUCCACACCACCCAAAACAAGCCCAGAUUCAGGAGCACGUAAUUUUGGCUAUAAAUAAGGCGAAAGGGUGAGGCAUUCGAACUCGCUCCAUUCUCUUCUCUCAUCUUCGAUAACAGAGAAGUAGAAGAGAACCCCGUCACACAGAACCAGUCAAGUCCUCUACCUCCGAAAAGGUACGACCUCCCUUUCGUUCUCUUCCUUAUUAUGCUGCUGCUCUCCCUCUCUCGCUCUGGCCCAAUUUCCCAAUGCCUACGUGAUCUACUCCUUUCCUUCAUCUUUCACUCUUUGUUUUCCAUUUCUCUUAAGAUUUUCAUCCUUUUUCACUGAGAUCUGUACCAGACUGAUUUUUUGUGUGCACGAUGAAUAUUUUUUGGAGGUUUGGAAUCUAGUGUGGAGGUUUGGAAUCUAGUGUGUGUGGCCUGGAAGACAUAAAACCAAACCUCGUGAAUCAAAAAUAACAAACAUAAACGUGUUUUAAGCCCGCUCACUUCAAAUUCAUCAAUCACAUAUUCAUUUUUUGUCAACAUAUUCUAUUUCAACGUAGAGAACCAUCAAAUCAUCAAGAAAUUCAUCUUUUCUUAACCUUCUUUUCAUUCAAAUUAAACAGCCUUUUCUUUUCUCAUUUCUUUUCUUCUAUAAAAGAAAUUUUAUGUUUGAUUAAUUAGUUAAAAGGUGUUAAUUGUUCGUGGAUGGGGGUUUGAUAUCUGAAGAAGCUAGCUAGCUGGAUGUGUACAAAAGAGAUCACGAGUGUUGGUGGGUUUGGUUUUACUGGAUUGAUCAUGAAUAGUUUACUUUGAAUUCACCUAGUGGUAUUGUAUGCUGUAAUAUAUAUACCCCUACUUGAUCCUUUUUGGCCAAAAAUUCUCUCUAGGCUUGAGCCUAUAAAGCCUUUCACAUGUAUCCGCCCAUGAUCUGUACUGGUCAGUCUCCAACUCCCGCUUCGGUUUUGUGUUUCUACUUGUUUGCCCUCGAGUAUACUGCCCCGCCAUUAGGCUUUUGUUUUGCGCUGCAUUUUCUGUUGCAGAACUGAUUUUGGUACUUUGUAUGGUUUUUGUAGUAGAUCUGAGUUCACUGGCUUCUGUGGAGUGUUUAAGUGACGCUCCAUUUCUCUUGGAACUCCUUUUCCUCCCUUUAAACAUUAGAUCUACAGCUUCUCGUUGAACCUCUGUUACAAAUUAUGAUGAAAUUCAGUGCUCUAAGUAUUAGAUCUAUUAGUGCCAAGUUUUUUCAUUCGAGGUCAUGUGUUCUCUGAUUGUAUUUCAUUAACUUAGGCUCUAUCCGGACAUCUUAGUAUGACAUCUUUUGUUUUGCAUGAUUAUCUGAUUUCGUUACAAUGUCAUAAAUAAUGACAUUCCGUAAUAACUCUUGUGUGAUUUUAGAUUAUUAUUGCGAUUGAAUACAAAUCACUUACUCUUUGUGGGCUUUCAAAACUUGUUUAGAAAAUUUUCGUUGAUUCAUCAACCUUCAUCAACCUCAAUGCACAGAUACCGUUUCUGAUUUUACUUUGCAGAUAUGUCAUGAAAAUAUUGAGCAGUUUCUAUCACAGAUUAUAGUGUUGAUUAAGGAAACUAAUGUGGUUCUUGUUGAUCUGAUCCUACAGAGAAAUGGCGUCUCACAUUGUUGGAUACCCUCGUAUGGGCCCCAAGAGAGAGCUCAAGUUUGCCUUGGAAUCUUUCUGGGAUGGCAAGAGCAGUGCCGAAGAUUUGCAAAAGGUGUCUGCUGAUCUCAGGUGUUCCAUCUGGAAGCAGAUGGCUGAUGCCGGGAUCAAGCACAUUCCCAGCAACACCUUCUCUCACUACGAUCAGGUGCUUGACACCACCGCAUUGCUAGGGGCUGUUCCACCAAGAUAUGGUUGGAAUGGUGGUGAGAUUGGAUUUGACACUUACUUCUCCAUGGCCAGAGGAAAUGCCUCUGUUCCUGCUAUGGAAAUGACCAAGUGGUUCGACACCAACUAGUAUGUGACCUUAUCCUUUUCUACACUUUUGAAAUUUUAUUCUUCUAAUAUUAUGAAUGGGAAUGAUCAAUGCUGACUUUGUCUAAUGCGUUGAUACAGCCAUUUCAUUGUCCCUGAGUUGGGUCCUGACGUCAAAUUCUCAUAUGCUUCUCACAAGGCCGUUAAGGAAUACAAGGAGGCUAAAGCGGUGUGUUUAUGAUGUUUAUAUUUUAUUUCAUUGUUCUGCAUGUGGUCAAGUGAAUUAUGUUGGUUGAUGUAUGAUAGCCUGAUAGGCAGUCUUGGGUUUUGCUUCGAUGUAUAUGCUACGUUGCAUUUCAUUUAUACUUUUUUUCAGAACUGUUUGUAAUUUCCAUCUUUUGCAGCUUGGAGUGGAUACAGUCCCGGUACUUGUCGGCCCAGUGUCCUACUUGUUGCUGUCCAAACCAGCGAAGGGUGUUGAAAAGACAUUUUCGCUUCUCUCUCUUCUAGGAAAGAUCAUUCCUAUUUACAAGUAAUAUAUCCCAUUGUCCUUCUAUCUCAGAUUCCGGAUCGUAUGCGACUUAUCCUUUAUGUAUUGUUCUAAUUUUAUUUACUCUUUAGGGAGGUUAUAUCUGAGCUCAAGGCAGCUGGAGCUUCAUGGAUUCAGUUUGAUGAGCCCACACUUGUCAUGGAUCUUGAUUCUCACAAGUUGCACGCAUUUACUGAUGCUUACUCUCAGUUAGAGUCAACUCUAUCCGGCUUGAAUGUUCUUAUUGAGACUUACUUUGCUGAUGUACCUGCUGAGGCAUUCAAGACUCUUACUUCUUUGAAGGGUGUCACUGCCUAUGGUUUUGAUUUAGUUCGUGGUACUAAGACCCUUGACUUGAUUAAGAGUGACUUCCCUAAAGGCAAGUACCUCUUUGCUGGAUUGGUUGAUGGAAGGAACAUUUGGGCAAAUGAUCUUUCUGCUUCCCUCAGUACAUUGCAGGCUCUUGAAGGCAUUGUUGGCAAAGGUAUACGAUAUUUCUGCAGUUUUUGGUAAAUGAUGACAAGCAAUUGCAUUUCAUUAAUUCUUUAUCUGUUUUGUGCAGACCACCUUGUCGUCUCUACCUCCUGCUCUCUUCUUCACACUGCUGUUGAUCUUGUUAAUGAGACUAAGCUGGACAAUGAAAUCAAAUCGUGGCUUGCCUUUGCUGCCCAGAAAAUUGUUGAAGUUAAUGCUUUGGCAAAGGCAUUGGCCGGUCAAAAGGAUGAGGUAUAACCUUGUAUUCUUUUGUUACGCUAAUCCUAAUUUGUCUAUAAAGCAAAUUUCUUGUCUAGGUUUUCUAUUAAAAUUGGUGGUACUGAUAAAGAAAGAGAUUGGGGCCAUUACCGAGUGUGAUGUCCAUAAAGAUAGAAAAGUUGGAUGUAUUGCUGAAUCUUGGUUCAAUAGUUUACAGCAGUGCUUAUACCUCCUUGAAUGCAACUGGCUUAUGCUAUAUUUAUAAUAGUUUACAACAGUGCUUAUAUGAUUCACUUGCCGUUUUAAUUUGAUUGCUCAUCUUUUGUGCUGCCUGCAUCGUCAGGCAUUUUUCUCAAGCAAUGCUGCAGCUCAGGCUUCAAGGAAGUCGUCCCCAAGGGUGACCAAUGAGGCUGUGCAAAAGGCUGUGAGUGCUUAUUGCCUUUCUUGCCCCUUUUAUGAUAUGCUAAGUUUGUUCUGUAUUUGCAGUCAGAUUUUUUUCUUUGAUACUUGUUAUUAUUAUUAUUUAUUUAUUUUAUUUUUCUGGGUAUUUUCAGGCUGCGGCUUUGAAGGGUUCUGACCACCGUCGUGCUACUAAUGUAAGUGCCAGACUUGAUGCUCAACAGAAGAAGCUUAAUCUUCCAGUUCUCCCAACUACCACCAUUGGAUCAUUCCCUCAGACCAUUGAACUCAGAAGGGUCCGCCGUGAAUACAAGGCCAAAAAGUAAUAAAGUCGAAUGUUUUAUUAUCUUAACAAAAUAUCAAAUUGUAGAAACUGUUGCUGAUAAAUGCGCUUUAUUUUUUUGAACUUUAGGAUUUCUGAGGAGGAGUAUGUCAAGGCCAUUAAGGAGGAAAUUAGCAAAGUUGUUAAGCUUCAGGAGGAGCUUGACAUUGAUGUCCUUGUUCAUGGGGAGCCUGAGGUGAGUUUUCAUUUAUCAAACUGGAUACAGAGAAAUCUGUUCUACUAUUGGAUGUUGAACCGUUGGUUUUCCUUUUGUAUGUGAGACUGCGAUUCAUUAUUGUUUAUUCUCAUGGCAGAGAAACGACAUGGUUGAGUACUUUGGAGAGCAAUUAUCAGGGUUUGCCUUUACUGUCAAUGGGUGGGUGCAAUCUUAUGGAUCUCGAUGUGUGAAACCACCAAUCAUCUAUGGUGAUGUGAGCCGCCCAAAGCCAAUGACUGUAUUCUGGUCAUCUACUGCUCAGAGUAUGACUGCUCGCCCAAUGAAGGGAAUGCUUACAGGCCCUGUUACCAUCCUCAACUGGUCCUUUGUUAGAAAUGACCAGCCCAGGUCUGAGACUACCUACCAGAUUGCUUUGGCCAUCAAGGAUGAAGUGGAGGAUCUUGAGAAAGCCGGUAUCAAUGUUAUUCAAAUUGAUGAGGCUGCAUUAAGAGAAGGGUUGCCUCUCAGGAAGUCUGAGCAAGCUCACUACUUGGACUGGGCUGUCCACUCAUUCAGGAUCACUAACGUUGGUGUCCAGGACACUACUCAGGUCUUUUUCCCACUUGACAUGUAUUUUUGUAUUCUAGUAUUUUGUUUGCCUUGUUGUCUUAACUGCUUGUUUUUAAACAAAUCACGCAGAUUCACACUCACAUGUGCUACUCCAACUUCAACGAUAUCAUCCACUCAAUCAUCGACAUGGAUGCUGAUGUGAUCACCAUUGAGAAUUCUCGCUCUGAUGAGAAGCUCCUGUCAGUCUUCCGAGAGGGAGUGAAGUAUGGUGCUGGUAUUGGUCCUGGUGUUUAUGACAUCCACUCUCCAAGAAUACCAUCAACUGAGGAGAUUGCUGACCGGAUUAACAAGAUGCUUGCGGUCCUCGAGACAAAUAUCUUGUGGGUCAACCCUGACUGUGGGCUAAAGACUCGCAAGUACGCUGAGGUGAAACCAGCUCUUAGUGCUAUGGUUGCUGCUGCCAAGCAACUCCGCACUCAGCUUGCCAGUGCUAAAUGAAGCAUUUGAUGGAACCGGGGCUUCAAAAGAAUUCAAGGAUUCAAUGCAUCUUACUUGGAUUUUACGGGUCAUGUUUGAUUGUUUAAUAACUGUGUGAUGGAAUAUCUUAUUAGGCUUUUAAUGUCCUCUUAUGGGCACUUUUUGUUUUUGUUUUUUUUCCUUAUUAUAUUUUGUAUUUGAGAAAUUUAAAUACACAUUUCUAAUCUUUUAAUACAUAUCUCUAUUAUUUUAUAUUUCACAUCAGAUUUUAUAAUUCACAAACUGCAAUAAUAAAAGCUAGCUCGAUUAUAAUUCACAAAAGCUCAUCACCAGUACUACCCUGAAUAGCGAAACUUAGAUCAUAUAUUUGUCUUUAUAUUUCUCCCAGUUUCUUGAAAUAAAGGAUUGGAUUAGUUCUAAUCAAAAGAAAAACCAAUACCCCUCUUUGAUAAGUUUUCGUUGCAGUAUUCCAGUAAUUAAUGAGAGAAAUAAAAACGAUACAUAUAUUUAUUUUUGCUUGAUUACCAGUACAAACCUGAGCACCCAGACUUGGAUCAUUCGGAUAAGCUUUCAAUGUCAAAGAACAAUGGUUAUAAACCUGAUUAAGAACACAUGUAAAUCCAAUUCACCUUGCACAUCAAUAAAAACAAAGGAAGAAGAAAAAUUGCAAAGACAAUCAAUUUGCAGAUGAAGAUCAAUGAAAUUGAGAAGAACAUAAUAAUAGGUAGGAAUUAUUGCCUCUGAACUGCUAUUCACUUACCAUUAAUUGUUCUCAUGAAAAAGAAGAUCGAGAUUGAAGGUCUGGGCAACAACCUCACCCAAAACUUCAAGAUCGAUCAAGGCUGGCUGCAAAUUUGUAGCCGACGAGUCCACUGGCGAGAAGAAGCUCCAUAUCAAGGUUUGGUGUCCGUUCGGCAAGAAGAAACGGCGUGAUCAACGCCUAAAGGUGGAGAAAUAUCAUGGUACUCAAGAUCCUAACUUGAGAAUAAGACAACAAUUCCAUUUAAAUACUUUAUACCCAUUAUAGUGUUCCAACACCAUUAUUCAAUCUCGUUUCAACACCAACAUACCAAAUGAGCAAAUUAAAGACCAUAACAUUCCAGAAAUGCUCAGUUUUAUAGGCUGGAUAUAUUUCCUUGCAAGUAGCCCAAAUUAAGAAUUGUAGUAUGAGAAAAUGAGUACAUUCUACUGUUCUAGGCUCCGAAGAAAGAGAGAAUUGUUUGGGAAAUACUAUAAGCGAGCUCAAUCGCAACCUGGAAAAAAAUAUCGGACAACAUAAGACAAAUAAGAAAAUGAACAGCAACUACUUAGUGAAAUAUGAAAUUGAUAGAAGAAACAUGAAGGAAAAUAGCAACCUGAAAAAAAAAAUAUUACAAUAGGAAAGCAAAGAAGAAAACAUCCACCUUUGAAUCUGCUAAGUUCCAUGAGAGCGCUAAUCCUCUUUAGUUAGCUGAAACUCAGACAAAAACCCAAACUGGAAUCAGGGAUCCCCAUUCCAGAUCCAAAACAGUAGAUGGGGGAUAGCAACACCAAAUGAAGACUAAAUCUAGAAAAGGCGCGCAACCCAUUGAACCUCAAUCAACCUCAAUAAACAAAACAUAGAAACAUAUCUAGAAAUAAGAGGGUAGAUUUGAGACAGAAAGGGGAAAAAAAGUGGAGCAGCGAUGGCAAAUCUGUGAUUGAACUGGAAUCAGGGAGGAAGAGGUAAGUUCCAGGGGUCCCUUGUGAACAGAACGUCGGUCUGUUCGUACUUUACUAUAGAGUAAAGUAGUGAUCUAUGGCCACUCUUGUUCACCCAAUCACUACUUGAUUAAGAAAUUCUGCUCGAUGAAAAUAAGUAUUUUUAAGUAUACUUGUUUUGUUUUCAUAGUUGGAUGUAUAUCUAGGUUCAUUUGGUCCACUGAUGCUCUGCCAAUCUCCAGAUGGGGAAAGAGAGGAGAUUGCAGUACAGGCAUUUGAGAAGCGACCACAAUCAUAAGCAUAUACUGUAUUAUGUAUAUGCAUCAGAUAAUCAUCUAUGCGGCUAUGCCUAGAUCCAUCACCAGUCGCAACACUAGGAACAGCCAGAGCCACAGGGCUCAAACUGGUUCUAGUAAAUUAUACCAAAAACGAAAGGGUCUGAACUGUAGACACACCCAAACCAGAUAGCAAAGGUACAGCAUUUUACACAUUUCAGUAGUAUUUUGAUUAGAAUACACAAAAGCAAAUAGAAUUCAUCCACUUAUAAGCAUAGUAAACAUCCAAGAUCUCAUGGUUGGAGCCAGAAGCAAAAGGCCCUUAUUGGGAUUGAAAUUAAACUAAAAUUGGAUUCAAGAAACAACACGGCCAACAACAGGGUACUUAGCUACGAACUUGUUCUCCCAGUCGGUGAGGACGCCGAUCUCCUUGUCGGAGAGGCCCUGGAGGUCGGCGGUGAUGUCUUCUUCGUUCUUGGUCAUCUUGGCCAGAGCUCGGCUGGCGUCCUUGCCGGCAAACAUGGCGUAGGGACCUCCAGGACCGUAAAACGACUUGCCGUUGCUCACGUCGAAGACGCGGCCCUUGACUGCCACGUAUAUGGGCUUCGAUGGGUCCGUGCCGUUGUAUUGUAUCAGCUCCUCCGCUGUUAGCUCCAUCGCCACCGGAUUCUUUUUCUUUUUGCG